AACGAACGCUGGCGGCAUGCCUAACACACGCAAGUCGAACGAGACCUUCGGGUCUAGUGGCGCACGGGUGCGUAACACGUGGGAAUCUGCCCUUUGCUUCGGAAUAACAGUUAGAAAUGACUGCUAAUACCGGAUGAUGUCGAAAGACCAAAGAUUUAUCGGCAAAGGAUGAGCCCGCGUAGGAUUAGGUAGUUGGUGGGGUAAAGGCCUACCAAGCCGACGAUCCUUAGCUGGUCUGAGAGGAUGAUCAGCCACACUGGGACGGAGACACGGCCCAGACUCCUACGGGAGGCAGCAGUGGGGAAUAUUGGACAAUGGGCGAAAGCCUGAUCCAGCAAUGCCGCGUGAGUGAUGAAGGCCUUAGGGUUGUAAAGCUCUUUUACCAGGGAUGAUAAUGACAGUACCUGGAGAAUAAGCUCCGGCUAACUCCGUGCCAGCCGCCGCAGUAAGAC
rnacentral:rRNA from 1 species